CCACAGGAGACAGGCUGUACAUCAUCAGCAGCUGGAACCAGCCCAAGCUUCUCACCCUGGCCAGGGAUGGCACACUCCUGGCUACAUACACAGAGCCAGCACUAUGGGGCUCAUAUGGUCUACAUGUGACCCCUGCAGGCCAAGUGCUGGUCUGUGGAUACCUGUCCAACACUGUACUACAGGUGGGCUGGGAGGGAGAGAGUAAGCUGGCUACGCUGGCUACUAAGGAGGAUGGAGUGUGGGGUCCAAUGUCAGUCUGCUACAGCAGCACAACAUCGUCCAUCAUUGUGGGACAGCAGCUGGGGGACAACAUCAUGGUGUUCAGAGUGGAAUAGUGUGUACAUUCGCUGCUGAGUCAGGACAACGAUGCUGAGGAUGUGGUGGACAAGGAUGACCUGACUACGCAGAAGGACAGCACCACCAUUGAUAUCGAGUUGGCCCAGCAACAGCACCAGUCCAGCCUGCAGGAGCCCCAGUCCAGGAUGACCCAACCACUCCCCUGACCCAUAGCUCAUCAUACUUGAUAUCCGGAAAAAUGGGGCCUAAUGCAUGAGCUUAAAUUGUUGUCACAGAUAAGCCUGUGCAGUUCGCACAGGCUAAUAAUGGACAACACUUUCCUCUUAAAGCAGAGCACCAGCAUUGAUGACUGCAGGAGCCCCAGUCCAGAAUGACACUUCCCCUCCCUUGACUUCUAACUCCUCCCCAUUGACCUCCUGCCUCAAAAAGUCAGCAUCGUUGAACAACUCUGUUCUGCAGGAAAUUCUGAGCAUGAUUCUGUUCUGACAAACGCAAUGUCCGCGUCACGUUUUCCAAACAUAAGCCUGGGUAGUUUUGUUAAGCUAGAGUUCCGCGUGGGCCUGAAAGGGACAAGUGUUACAGACACGCAAAGUUAUAGCAGUAGAUAUGGUAACGCUAACAGUCAGUUGUUGCUGUUGGACAUCACAACAAAUAUCAUGAAGAAUGAAAAGUUCAAUAACUUGUUCCAAUCUUUAUGGAACAAACAGAAAUUGAACAGGAGGAAAUCACGGAACAAUAAAAGCGUAAGCUUUCCUAGUGGGAUACUUCUGUUGUUGAUAGUUUGGACAACAGUAGGGUUACAGACUGCCCCAGAUUGUCCUCUCAGCGGCCAAAAUAUCAUAAUAGAACAGACUUUUGGCAAUGUUACUGACAAAAAAGACAAUAAUGACUUGGUUGUGAAUACCCAGAGCACAAUACAUCCAUGCUGACAAAGAAAGGCGGUAAUGACUUAGUUGUGAACACCUCGAGCACGAUACAUCCAUGCUGACACAGAUAGGCAGUAAUGACUUGGUUGUGAACACCCAGAGCGCGAUACAUCCAUGCUGACACAGAUAGGCAGUAAUGACUUGGUUGUGAACACCCAGAGAACGAUACAUCUGUGCUGACACAGAA